rnacentral:rRNA from 1 species
UAAGCGGAGGAAAAGAAACUAACAAGGAUUCCCCUAGUAACGGCGAGUGAAGCGGGAAGAGCUCAAAUUUGUAAUCUGGCCCUUUCAGGGUCCGAGUUGUAAUCUCGAGAAGUGUUUUCCGCGUCGGACUGCAUACAAGUCUAUUGGAAUAUAGCGUCAUAGUGGUGAGAGCCCCGUAACUGAUGCAGAUGCCCGAUGCUUUGUGAUACACUUUCGAAGAGUCGAGUUGUUUGGGAAUGCAGCUCAAAUUGGGUGGUAAAUUCCAUCUAAAGCUAAAUAUUGGCGAGAGACCGAUAGCGAACAAGUACCGUGAGGGAAAGAUGAAAAGCACUUUGGAAAGAGAGUUAACAGUACGUGAAAUUGUUGGAAGGGAAACGCUUGAAAUCAGACUUGCUAUUCGGAAUUCAGCCGCAAGGUGUACUUUUCGAUUUGCAGGCCAGCAUCAGUUUUUGGGGGUGGAAAAGGGUGGAGAGAAGGUAGCAACCCCGGUUGUGUUAUAGCUCUUCACUGGAUUCAUCUUUGGGGACUGAGGAUCGCAGUGCGCAUUUAUUUGCAAACCACUUGAGGUUUUCGUACUUAGGAUGCUGGUGGAAUGGUUUUAAACGACCCGUCUUGAAACACG